CCGAACCAUUCUUCUAAAUCGUACUGGGCACCCAACUCCGUCUCCCAUGACAGCAUAUGUUUUAAUUUAAUUAAGGGCUUGGCAUUAUGAGAUAAGUAACAUAAGGAUAUCAUACCUUUACUAGCAGGGCUGUAUAAAAAAAACUUUCUCUAAAGGAGAUAACUCAAGUGAUUUAUAGUUUUUAUCUGUUUCAGUUACCUGGUAUAGUUCUUUCAAUUUAUCAAUGAUUAGCAUACAUUCCAUUUCACAUACAUUUGACAAUCCAUACUUAAGCUUCAAUGUUUCCAAAGAAAGAAUAGCAUUGCCAUAAAAAAAAUUGUCCAGAUUAGUUAUAGAGCAAUCCUUCAAUAAUUCUAUUUUUAAGGAUGGUAUAUAAUCUUUCAAUAACUCAAUAGGCAUUGCUCUAUAUAAACUGGGAGACUGGUCAUUUUUAAAAACAAUGUCCCAGGCCUUAAGCGUAGUCUUGGUAGAUAAAAAUAAUUUAGUAAUUCCAGGUCUUUUCUUAGAAUUUAACCAAGGUAAUUCUGAUAAUCUAACCGGUGAAAUUUUUGAUUCCUCUAUUUCCAUCCAUCUGGGUUUAUCAUCCUGAUUGUUAACGCUCACAACCACUGCAGCGUUAGUGGCAAAAUAAUAUUUGCGGAUAUCGGGGACACCGAUACCGCCGUUCAAUUUAUGGUAAAUACACUUUUUUCUUAGUAUCGUAGUGGUAUUUUUGUGACAUCAUCUUCCUAUGUUUUGAAUGGUUUUGUGAAAUGUCCUUCUCUGUAGCAUCUCAUGUUUUG